rnacentral:rRNA from 1 species
CCUACGGGGGGCAGCAGUGGGGAAUAUUGCGCAAUGGGCGAAAGCCUGACGCAGCGACGCCGCGUGAGGGAUGAAGGUCUUCGGAUCGUAAACCUCUGUCAGCAGGGAAGAACGGUCACUGUGCUAAUCAGCAGUGAAUUGACGGUACCUGCAAAGGAAGCACCGGCUAACUCCGUGCCAGCAGCCGCGGUAAUACGGAGGGUGCGAGCGUUAAUCGGAAUUACUGGGCGUAAAGCGCUCGUAGGCGGUAUGUCAAGUCAAGGGUGAAAUCCCCGCGCUCAACGUGGGAACUGCCUUUGAAACUGACAAACUGGAGUGUGGUAGAGGAUAGUGGAAUUCCAGGUGUAGGAGUGAAAUGCGUAGAUAUCUGGAGGAACAUCAGUGGCGAAGGCGACUAUCUGGCACAUAACUGACGCUGAGGAGCGAAAGCGUGGGUAGCAAACAGGAUUAGAUACCCGAGUAGUC